rnacentral:rRNA from 1 species
CUACGUGCCAGCAGCCGCGGUAAUACGGAAGGUCCGGGCGUUAUCCGGAUUUAUUGGGUUUAAAGGGAGCGUAGGCUGGAGAUUAAGUGUGUUGUGAAAUGUAGACGCUCAACGUCUGACUUGCAGCGCAUACUGGUUUCCUUGAGUACGCACAACGUUGGCGGAAUUCGUCGUGUAGCGGUGAAAUGCUUAGAUAUGACGAAGAACUCCGAUUGCGAAGGCAGCUGACGGGAGCGCAACUGACGCUGAAGCUCGAAGGUGCGGGUAUCGAACAGGAUUAGAUACCCUGGUAGUCCGCACAGUAAACGAUGGAUGCCCGCUGUUGGUACCUGGUAUCAGCGGCUAAGCGAAAGCAUUAAGCAUCCCACCUGGGGAGUACGCCGGCAACGGUGAAACUCAAAGGAAUUGACGGGGGCCCGCACAAGCGGAGGAACAUGUGGUUUAAUUCGAUGAUACGCGAGGAACCUUACCCGGGCU